AGGGGAACAGUGUUGCAGUAGUCUAGUGUGAGGGGUUAUGGCAGGGGAACAGUGUUGCAGUAGUCUAGUGUGAGGGGUUAUGGCAGUAGUCUAGGGGUUAUGGCAGUAGUCUAGGGGUUAUGGCAGGGGAACAGUGUUACAGUAGUCUAGUGUGAGGGUUUAUGGCAGUAGUCUAGGGGUUAUGGCAGGGGAACAGUGUUACAGUAGUCUAGUGUGAGGGGUUAUGGCAGGGGAACAGUGUUACAGUAGUCUAGUGUGAGGGGUUAUGGCAGGGGAACAGUGUUACAGUAGUCUAGUGUGAGGGGUUAUGGCAGGGGAACAGUGUUACAGUAGUCUAGUGUGAGGGGUUAUGGCAGGGGAACAGUGUUACAGUAGUCUAGUGUGAGGGGUUAUGGCAGGGAAACAGUGUUACAGUAGUCUAGUGUGAGGGGUUAUAGCAGGGGAACAGUGUUACAGUAGUCUAGUGUGUGUUUUGGGAAUAAUGACAAGCGAACCUGGGAAGUUUUGUGUUCACAUUGGCCUGAAAAAGGAAACCGGACCCUGG
ensembl:lncRNA